ACCUGGGCACAGAGAAGCAGCUCUUCACCAAUCAUCAGACCUGAGAAGCCCUGGGAGGGAAGAAUACGAGACCUCACAAGACAAUGUUUACUAGCCUCCAAAAUCUUACGCAGCUUCAAGAGGUUCGCAGACGCCCUUAAACUCAACCAGAAGUCCAGAACGGAGGGUUCCCAAGAACAAUAACAAUAGUCACUAAUCAAGC
rnacentral:lncRNA from 1 species